AAAUGGUCAUUCAUCUGCGAGCAGCUCGACAACCGUGGGAAAGUUCAACUAUACGAGGAGCCCAUUAUACAGCCUGGAAACAAUUCCUGGAGGAUUGAUGUGUGCGGUACGAAGCAACCCCCGUAUCCGUAAUACGUAUGAUAAUAAUAUUUCAAGGAAGACGGGAAUACAGAACGGUGCUUCUGCUUUGGAAAAAAUAAGAAGAGUAAAAAAUUAUUCAACCGAUCAAGAACAAAGGCCCGCUUUUGUAACCAAGCUAC
rnacentral:misc_RNA from 1 species